GACACAAUUGGAGAAACUGAUUAUUUUACCAAGGCCUUGACUGGAAUGGUAUGCUUCCCUUUAAGGAAUCAAACUUGACUUGUAGAGCCAAUAGAAGCCCCUUGGGAAAACUGACCUCAUACCUUGUCGACACAAUCCCUGUGCAGGGUUCCCGAUCUGCCAUGUGAAGUGCUGGCUUCCCUUUGCCUUCCACCAUGAUUGUAAGUUUCCUGAGACAUCCCCAGAUGCCAAGCAGAUGCCACCAUCACAUUUCCUGUACAGCCUGUGGAACUGUGAGUCAAUUAAACCUUUUUUCUUUAUAAAUUA